UACGUAGGGCGCAAGCGUUUGUCCGGAAUUAUUGGGCGUAAAGAGCUCGUAGGCGGUUUGUCGCGUCUGCUGUGAAAACGCGAGGCUCAACCUCGCGCCUGCAGUGGGUACGGGCAGACUAGAGUGCGGUAGGGGGAGAUUGGAAUUCCUGGUGUAGCGGUGGAAUGCGUAGAUAUCGGGAGGAACACCAGUGGCGAAGGCGACUACCUGGCCUGUUCUUGACGCUGAGGCGCGAAAAGCUAGGGGGAGCAAACGGGG
rnacentral:rRNA from 1 species